GGGACCGUAGCUCAGCGGUAGAGCAACUGCCUUUUAAGCCGUAGGUCGAUGGUUCGAAUCCAUCCGGUCUCA
rnacentral:tRNA from 1 species